rnacentral:lncRNA from 1 species
UCCUUCAGUGUCCUUCCCCAUCAUGUGCUGAUCUCUGAUGUCUCCACAGAGAAUUGAAGAGAUGAGAAAAAUGACAAGGACAGUCACACAUGCGGAAGGAUGUACAGCUGGCCAUCACACUUCAGGAUUAUUGAGAAAUGAUUCCUCAGAAGGAGCAAGCACAUUGGAACCUUUCCCGAAAUGAGAUUUGAACGAGGAAGAGGAGACACAGUGACCUGAAUAGUUGAUAUCAGAGGAGGAGGGAAGAGAGUGCCAUCUUCACAGGAGAAGGCAAAGGAAGAGUGAGGGCUCUGAAAUAAACUUGUUCACAGUUUUGCCUGAGACAGACCCUUGGAGCAAGUUUUAUCAGCAGCUCUUCAAGACUGUCCUCCGAAGAAGUAGGUCUGGAGGACACAAACAACAGCUAUCCUAUUAUUUUCUUUCUUGAGUUCUUAUAUAUUCAUAGGCAAAUGUCAGAAGGGUUUCUGUCUUCUAACCAAAGGUAUCAAUCCACCAGAAGCAGCAUAGACUAAAGCCUCUCUUUUCUAAACAGGAACCUGGUGCUGAAAUGGAUCUCCACAUCCUCUCCUCCAAACACCACUCACUGCUUUGUGGUCUACAAAAAUGGUGACCUGACCACUAGGGAUUCACUUGUGGUUAGGAAAAGAUGGGAUCAGGAGGCUCUCAGCACUGACCCUGGUCCCCAGAGCCUCUUUACCCCUCGACACUUUCUGCAGAGCCCA